CCCACAAAGACCUUGCUCACAACU
rnacentral:miRNA from 1 species